AACGCGCAGGCGCCCAUUUCGUGGCGAGGAGGAAAAAAGUGUAGCCUCUUACAGUUUCAAGAAGAGAAGCAGUGAGUGGCUUUCUCCCGGCUUGGAUCUGGACCUGGACCUGGACUGGGAUAUUUCUUCCACAAUGUGAAACUUGACUUUCUUUCGAUCUGUGACUUCUUUAAUUAUAUCUACCUUUCCUUAGGAGAAUAUUUUGGCAGCUUAUCAAAGAAUGCACAUAUUUUUCUUGUUGGAUUAAAUUCUUUGCUGCAUUUA